CCUACGGGCGGCAGCAGUGGGGAAUAUUGCGCAAUGGGCGCAAGCCUGAUGCAGCCAUGCCGCGUGUGUGAAGAAGGCCUUCGGGUUGUAAAGCACUUUCAGCGGGGAGGAAGGCGGUGAGGUUAAUAACCUCAUCGAUUGACGUUACCCGCAGAAGAAGCACCGGCUAACUCCGUGCCAGCAGCCGCGGUAAUACGGAGGGUGCAAGCGUUAAUCGGAAUUACUGGGCGUAAAGCGCACGCAGGCGGUCUGUCAAGUCGGAUGUGAAAUCCCCGGGCUCAACCUGGGAACUGCAUUCGAAACUGGCAGGCUAGAGUCUUGUAGAGGGGGGUAGAAUUCCAGGUGUAGCGGUGAAAUGCGUAGAGAUCUGGAGGAAUACCGGUGGCGAAGGCGGCCCCCUGGACAAAGACUGACGCUCAGGUGCGAAAGUGUGGGGAGCAAACAGGAUUAGAUACCCCGGUAGUC
rnacentral:rRNA from 1 species